UACGUAGGGGGCAAGCGUUGUCCGGAAUUAUUGGGCGUAAAGAGCGCGUAGGCGGUCCGAUAAGUCGGCUGUGAAAGUCCCAGGCUCAACCCUGGAAGCCGGCCGAUACUGUCGGACUAGAGUCCGGAAGAGGCGGAGUGGAAUUCCCGGUGUAGCGGUGAAAUGCGCAGAUAUCGGGAGGAACACCAAUGGCGAAGGCAGCUCGCUGGGACGGUACUGGACGCUGAGGCGCGAAAGCGUGGGGAGCAACAGGG
rnacentral:rRNA from 1 species